UCUUUCCAUAGGUGUGCAUUCAUGUAACAUGAUGAGAAACAAAGAUUGGCCUGUCAUGCUUCUACAGAAGCAUUUAUUCAAGUAGCAGCACAUCAGGACUGUCUACCUCCUUGUCUGCAGAAUUUUCUAAGAGCAAAGAUGUCCACCCUGAAGCACCAACUCACCCAAAAAUGUCCGUGUUAGUUGGAAGCAGCUUAGAAAUGACAUUGUUCAGCAAUUUCUCAGCUUCCUGGGCCUUCUGCUUGGCCAGUUGCCAAGCACUGGAUUUCUGAAGCACCCCUAGGUCGACCUUCAGUUUCUCAAGGACGCCUGCCAAAAAUAAUCGCCAUUUUGUGUCAUGCACCACUUACGAAGUAGCUGCAGUGCUCCAGGUACCGGAGUAUUGUCAACUGUCUCAAGUCCAUCGUGAAGAACAGGUUCCAGCUUAUCCAUGAUAUUGCUUAGGUCAUUGCCAAGAUUGUCAAGAAGAGACUCUGAGGUCCCAGUGAGCACGCCGCACAGGAGAAAAAGUUUCCAAAGCUGAAGCAUCUUUUGUCUUGACACCUGGACAGUCAUGGGAAGAACAGUAGUGAGAAUUGCCCAGAGGCAAAUGGACUCUUCAGACACUGCUGCACAUUUGCAGGUCGGAUUCAUAUCAAAUGGGACCUGGCUAUGUUUACUGCCUGAAAGAAUGAAUGUCGUGAUGGUGAUAUUUCCCAGGAGCCUCCCAUAGUGGAUCCUGUGGUGACCCAAGUCCUCGCCAUCCAUCUGAGCACUUAUUGCUGGACCAAGAACAGGUGCCCUGGGCCUGUGGAGACUCAGGAACCCUGAAGGCCGGCUCCACUUGCUUCUUCUCUGCCUUCCUUGUGCCACCCUCGGGCUCCACGUGACUCUCCCCGCAGCCUGCAGGGC